rnacentral:rRNA from 1 species
UAAGAAUACCGAAUUUCCGUAGGUGACUGCGGAGGAUCAUUAACGAAUGACGUCCGGGGUUGAUGCUGGCCUUUCGAGGCAUGUGCUCGCCCCGCUCACAUUAUCCCUCUCACACCUGUGCACUCUUGCGUGGGUCGGCGUCCUCGUCGGCCUGCGUUUUCUCACAAACACUUGCAUGUCAAAGAAUGAUAUCGAUGCUCAUAACGCAUUUUAUACAACUUUCAACAACGGAUCUCUUGGCUCUCGCAUCGAUGAAGAACGCAGCGAAAUGCGAUAAGUAAUGUGAAUUGCAGAAUUCAGUGAAUCAUCGAAUCUUUGAACGCACCUUGCGCCCUUUGGCAUUCCGAAGGGCACACCUGUUUGAGUGUCGUGAAAUUCUCAACCUCCUCUUCUUUUUUGAAGAGCGGAGGCUGGACUUGGAGGUCUUUGCCGGUCUUUCGUGAUCGGCUCCUCUAGAAUGCAUUAGCGAGACCCCUGCGGUGGCGCCUUGGUGUGAUAAUUGUCUACGCCAUGGACGUGCCGCGAUUUGUUGGGGCGCUCGCUUCGAACCGUCGCAAGACACUUUCAUUGAACCUUGACCUCAAAUCAGGUGGGACUACCCGCUGAACUUAAGCAUAUCAAUAAGCGGAGGAAAAGGAA